rnacentral:rRNA from 1 species
GACGAACGCUGGCGGCGUGCUUAACACAUGCAAGUCGAACGGUGAACCUCUUCGGAGGGGAUCAGUGGCGAACGGGUGAGUAACACGUGGGCAACCUGCCCCCGGCUCUGGGAUAACUCCAAGAAAUUGGGGCUAAUACCGGAUGUUCACCGCUUCCCGCAUGGGUGGUGGUGGAAAGGGUUUCCGGCUGGGGAUGGGCCCGCGGCCUAUCAGCUUGUUGGUGGGGUAGUGGCCUACCAAGGCGACGACGGGUAGCCGGCCUGAGAGGGUGACCGGCCACACUGGGACUGAGACACGGCCCAGACUCCUACGGGAGGCAGCAGUGGGGAAUAUUGCGCAAUGGGCGGAAGCCUGACGCAGCGACGCCGCGUGGGGGAUGACGGCCUUCGGGUUGUAAACCUCUUUCAGCAGGGACGAAGCGCAAGUGACGGUACCUGCAGAAGAAGCUCCGGCCAACUACGUG